UCUGACUUCUCUUUCAAAACUUACACCCAUCUCUUUCUUGAGAAAUCAUCUGCAUGCACCAACAUCAAUGGCUUUGGAGCUCUCCACAAUUUUCCUUUGGGAAACAUCUUUUAGAAAUGCUUUCUAAAGAUACAAGCUUCACAAUUUUGCCUUUCAUCUUUAAUCAUUGGAAUACACUUUACCGUAUUUUUUUUGCAUUACAAGGUUAGUCCUUUGAAAUUAAGGUAUCCAAAUCUUCGAUACCAAAGAAAAGAAUCAUCAGUAACUACAUCAAAGGCAUUAACAGGAACUUUUAAAAACACAAGUGGAAAGAUCUUAUCUACUCCUAUUUAUAGCUGAAUAGAUUAGUUGCAUGCUCCUUUUAUCAAAUAUCAAGCAUUCAUCAACAUCGAAUACAACGUAAUAGUCUUUCUUCAAUAACUGGCAACCACUAAUUAGGUUAUGAGCUAAUCCAGGCACAUACAAAGCAUCAUGUAACAGUUUCUUUCCAAACUUUGACAUUACAGCAAUUGUACCCAUUCCACAUACCUGAACUUGACUGUUGUUUCCCAUCCUGACUUUUGUCUUCACGGAUUCAUCAAUCUCUUCAAAGAAUUAUUUGUUGCUAGUUACAUGAUUGCUCCCCAUACUUAUCACCAUGAGCAAAUGUGUAAGCAAGAAAUAAAUUUUCAUCAGAACCAUUUUCUUUUCCUGGGAAUUGGUAUUGUUUGCAACAUUUUUAGAACAGUUUUUCUCAAUAUGACCGUAUCGCUUGCAAUAAUAGCAUUGGGGAUGAUUUUGUUUUGGCCAUACUUCUCCUUAUACCAACAAUCUUUAUCAUCGUGGUUUGAUCUUCUACAAUAUGAGCAAGAAUUAGAAUUGUUACCUCCAUUUGAGUUCCUUUUUUGACCAUUGCUCAUUCUUCUACCUCUUCCUCUUACACAAGAUGAUCUUCCAUGACCUCGACUAGAGUUCCAUUGACUAGACUCAUCUAAUUUCUUCUUCAAAUCAAGUUUUGAUUGAAAGGCUUGCUGAAUAGGGUCUCUACCAUUCUGCUGAUGCACUGCUCAUGUGCUUGAAGUGACCCCAUUAAUUCAUUCAGAGAAUAAUUGGAUAAAUCCUUCGAUUCUUUUAUUACAGCAACAACAUGAUCAAAUUUGGGAGAAAGGCAUCGUAAAACUCUCUCAACAAGCUUUUGGUCUAUCAAUUCUUCUCCGAGAGAUUUAAUCUGAUUCACCACUAACUAGCUUUCGAAAAAAAUUCUUGAACCGAUUCUGAUGGCUUCAUCUGCGAAUUCUCGAAUUUCCUAUGCAUGGUUUGCAGCUUCUAGUAAUCGCUUUGUUUAUUCUUUGAUACUCCAUUUCAAGUAAGUACCAUGCUUCUUUCGAUGUUGUAGUAGCCAUAACUCAUGGAAAAAUGGCAUCAUUUAGUGCUUGCUGAAUUAAGACUAGGGCUUUGGCAUCCUUCUUUUGCUUUUCUUUCAACUCAUUAGGUUGAGCAGCAAUUAGCCUCUCUACAUCUGUAAGACCAUCAAAACCAUUGUCAACCAGGUCCCAUAUAUCAUAGGACAGAAAUAGAGUCCUCAUCUUGAUAUGCCAAAACUGGUAGUUAAGUCCUGUAAAGA
rnacentral:lncRNA from 1 species